GUUUUGGUGUGCAAUGAAAGAAGUAGAAGCUUUACAAUGUGCGGGUGGGCCGGUAUAGGGUUAUAAAUACCAGGAUACACCUGCUCUGCUCAGAGAAAGUGGGUUCGCCUUCUGUAUUAGAGAUUUUGCUAUUUACAACGGCUGGAUAUUAUGUGUAAUUUUAUUUGGUCAACAAUGUGGACACCUACGAUCGCUUUGCUUUUCAUGUGUUCUCAUUGUUUUGUGCGCAGCCUCGACUCCAAUUCAAUCCGAUCCUCUAAAGAAGCGGUGGAUCUAUUGGAACAGGUGAGAGCACCUGCAGUGGAGUGACCAGUGACGCUUAGGCUACGUUUUGCAUCUGUGUGGAUUCAAGUUAUUCAAGUGUCAUUCAAGUGUCUCUUUUUCAGAUUGAAUUAGGCCAAUGCUUUUCUUCGUAAUACAGGUGGACCCGCACAGUGGAACGGUGGGUGUACAGAAUAAUGUGAACACACGUCGCAGGGCAGAUACAUCUUCUACUCGCCAUCACAUCAGGCCAUCUUGUCCUGAUCAAGAAUGCAAUCCGUCAACGAGAAAUACCUGCAAUGGAUCUCAGAAAAAUAACCAGAGUAAAGAAAAACUUGCUCAUGAUGAUGACGACAACAUAAGGAAAGUUGCAGAGAUGGCCACAUGCGUGCGCUCUGGAGACUGUGAGGCAGGACUGUGCUGCGUUCGCUAUUUAAAAGGGAAAAGAUGUCAACGCAUCCCAAAGGAGGGAGAGACCUGCUUCCUGCGAGGAGGACGCUCUAAACUGCGGAGAAAUCUUGACCGCUGCGACUGUGCACUCGGGCUAACCUGUCGUGCCCAGGCUGAAAGCCCCAAAAACCAAGGAGUUUGUCUACCCAAACCGAGAGAGAACACGAGGAGUGCUAGACACUCAGGCAAGAGGCGUAAUGCCGAGAGAAGAUGUGGAUGACUUAAGCCUUUCUUUCACUCAAAACUUUUGACUCAAUAAACUACUUUUGUGCCAUUCUUUGUUUAAAAUGUUAUAGGCUAAAUGCAAGUUAGGCUUUUGUAAAUGUAUAUUUAAUUCCAUACAAGCUCCGGUGGUCUACUCUUUGUUUUUAUUUGAGCCCCUCACCUAAUCUUAUUCAUCUUUAAAAGACAAAUCUGCACAUUUCAUAACUUCCUUGAGUUUAAUGGAAUCUGGUACCAUCUCUCAAAUGGUCCAGACCUCAUCAUCACAAUGUCCACUUGUGCCAUCUAUUGGAUGAAGAUUAUAAGCAACAAAUUGACAAUAUUUGAAAAGGGUUUUGGGUUUUGUAGCCUGGAAUCCACACUGACCGUUUCAAUAUUGUUUCAUGUCAUUGAUUCAGUCUAGACCUGCUCCAAGAGGGACACUUGGGCCUAAAUUGAAAAUAGCCAGUCCAGUCAGUGACCGAUCAGAAUCUAAAAGUGGGGUUAGCACAAAACCCCAUGUGGCAAAAUGCUGCACUUUAAUGGCCAGGCAGCACAUAAUGGGCCCUGUCAGAUAUUGAUGUAGUUGGUGCUGUAUUUUACCUAAUAUACAUGAGUUCUAACUAGAAAUAAAUCUUUGUUAGUUUACAAUUAUACAACUUAUGUUCUCGCAUAUAAAAACCACGAAGACUGCCGGAAAGGCCCGAACGCAAGAUCGUAAUUUCUAUGACUCACACGGUGAAGAACAUAACAUUUUAUAGCCUGUAGCCUACUGUUCAUGGAGAGCUGGUGUGCAUGAGUGGCACUUCACUUUUUAGUAUGGAAAACAGCUGUGACAUUAUUGAUCCUAAGAUCAAAAUGUUAUUUGUGUAAUGAAAAUGAAUAGUGAAAUAAAAAAUAAACUGCAAUUUCCUCAAAUGAUUGUGAUUG
rnacentral:lncRNA from 1 species